rnacentral:rRNA from 1 species
GAAACUCAAAGGAAUUGACGGGGGCCCGCACAAGCGGUGGAGCAUGUGGUUUAAUUUGAAGCAACGCGAAGAACCUUACCAGGUCUUGACAUCCCGUUGACCACUGUAGAGAUAUGGUUUCCCCUUCGGGGGCAACGGUGACAGGUGGUGCAUGGUUGUCGUCAGCUCGUGUCGUGAGAUGUUGGGUUAAGUCCCGCAACGAGCGCAACCCUUGAUCUUAGUUGCCAUCAUUUAGUUGGGCACUCUAAGGUGACUGCCGGUGACAAACCGGAGGAAGGUGGGGAUGACGUCAAAUCAUCAUGCCCCUUAUGACCUGGGCUACACACGUGCUACAAUGGACGAUACAAACGGUUGCCAACUCGCGAGAGGGAGCUAAUCCGAUAAAGUCGUUCUCAGUUCGGAUUGUAGGCUGCAACUCGCCUACAUGAAGCCGGAAUCGCUAGUAAUCGCGGAUCAGCAUGCCGCGGUGAAUACGUUCCCGGGCCUUGUACACACCGCCCGUCACACCACGAGA